UUUUGAAUUAAACAAAAGCAUAAUCACGAUUAAUGAUCCCUGAAAAAAUGACAUGGAUUUCAGAAUAUCUUGCAAUCUUUUGCAUUUGAGCUGCAUGAAGACCGGGGUUGUUCAAAACUGAUCAUCUGCGCUAUCCCAGUAUAAUCUGACAGUUUUAUGAAGACCGUAUUGUCACGUAAGGAACAUGUCGUUCUCCUUCUCUGUCCUUCAACUUCUGAAUUAAUGUUCAGAAUAGUUGAGGUUACGUGAUUAUCCAGUGACAGUCAUCACUUUGGAUUUCAAAGAUUUUCAAGGCUUUCAGGUUAUCUUCAGGCUGAAGCAAUAUGCUUUGGUAUCAGUGACCAAGUAGCACUGCCACGUUGGACAACCCCCCCUCCCCAUCUAUCAUUCCAAGGUAAUGCAAUCUGUUUUAUUCCUUAGUGAAUCCUUCCUACAAUCACAGUAUAACACAUAGUCAGCAGAAAGCACAAUGUAAAAAUAGAACUUAAGAUUUAUUAACUCAUCUUCACAUUGUAAGGCGAAACAUUGCCCGGUUUUGUAAGGCAGUACAGGUUACAAGGCACAGUUUAUGUCAUCAGUAAAACCAUGACAAAGUACUAAACAAAAAAAAAA